AUUGAACGCUGGCGGCAGGCCUAACACAUGCAAGUCGAGCGAGCGGCGGACGGGUGAGUAAUGUCUGGGAAACUGCCUGAUGGAGGGGGAUAACUACUGGAAACGGUAGCUAAUACCGCAUACCAUCAGAUGUGCCCAGAUGGGAUUAGCUAGUAGGUGGGGUAACGGCUCACCUAGGCGACGAUCCCUAGCUGGUCUGAGAGGAUGACCAGCCACACUGGGACUGAGAAACGGUCCAGACGCCUACGGGAGGAAGCAGUGGGGAAUAUUGCACAAUGGGCGAAAGCCUGAUGCAGCCAUGCCGCGUGUGUGAAGAAGGCCUUCGGGUUGUAAAGUACUUUUGGUAGGGAAGCGGUACCGAAAGAAGAAGCACCGGCUAACUACGUGCCAGCAGCCGCGGUAAUAC
rnacentral:rRNA from 1 species